AAUGCGCGCAAAAGGUUCAUGUGUCGUGUGCACAAACACCAGCACGUCUUUCGAGUUCAGAGUUACUGAAGAAACGGAAAAACAUGGGAAAUAUUGCGAUAUAGUGCAGGAGAAACGGUGCCUUUUUGAUUCAGAUUUACCUUAAUUGGUGAUGUGAGGGACGUACAAAUGGCGAAAGUAUAAAGUCUCGUUCUUAAUUAUUGGACGGCCUCAUGUUGCAUGUGAUGUAAGUGUUCAUGAUAUCAGCAGGACAGAAUAUGCAGCUGGAAAAAGUAAUUGAAGACGUUUUCAAAAGGAAUGAGUUUCUGAGUUUAGAACAGUUUUUGGGAGAUCAGUGCAAUGAGAAAACGAAGCACAAAUGCACCAAAGACUUUAUUAACAAACUGAAUACAGUUAUAU